GGCGCAGUGGUGUAAUCAGAAACAUGGCUGGUUGUCGGCCAGUCGCUGCGGGUGCAAGUCUCGUCUGCGCCG
rnacentral:tRNA from 1 species